AACCAAUGGCCCCCUGAAAGCGCAUUGCACUCUUGGGACUUCCUGAGAGUAUGUUUGCUUCAGUGCU
rnacentral:rRNA from 1 species